UUGGAGGGCAAGUCUGGUGCCAGCAGCCGCGGUAAUUCCAGCUCCAAUAGCGUAUAUUAAAGUUGUUGCAGUUAAAAAGCUCGUAGUUGAAUUUCGGGAUUGACGCGACGGUCGUGCCUUAAGGGGCGUGAACUGUCGCCGUUGAUUUCUCACCUUCUGGAGAAGCUCGAUGUCCUUAAUUGGAUGUCUUGUGGAACCAGGACCUUUACCUUAGAAAAAAUUAGAGUGUUUAAAGCAGGCUAUUUUGCUCGAAUACAUUAGCAUGGAAUAAUAGAAUAGGACGGCAUGGUUCUAUUUUGUUGGUUUCUAGGAUCACCGUAAUGAUUAAUAGGGAUAGUUGGGGGCAUUAGUAUUCAAUUGUC
rnacentral:rRNA from 1 species